GGCAUGGUGUACGCCGAUGGGUAAGGGCAGGCGCUUGCGCUGAUGAUGUUGGUUCGAGUCCAACCCCAUGUCA
rnacentral:tRNA from 1 species